GGGUGAGCACUGGGUGUUACAUGUAGGAGAUGAAUUACUGGAUUCUAUUUCUGAAAUUAUUACUGCACUAUAUGCUAACUACCUUGGAUGUAAACUUAAAAUAAAAAUAAUUUUAAAAAUGGAUCAGUAAAUUCGAAGAGCUUCAAAAUUCUAUGAAACAUACUUGUAUUUUUGUCCCCACUGUAAGUCAUGCUCAGAAACUGAGCCUGUUUGCCUAUACUACCAGUGAAGUUAAUGAGAAGUAUAUCUUGAACCCUGAGGGGGGGUUGAUCCAGGGGGUAAGGGAUGUGAGGGAAGCAGAGUAAACAAGAUGCUUGAGCAGCCUACACUCCAGCUGGAGAGAAGAGAAUUUCAUCCGUGGAAGAAUCCUAACAUACUCUCUCAUCUGUGUACUUCCCACAGAAUAUUCCACCUUAAAUGCAGGGGAGGUAGACUGUUUACAAAGUCUCCUGUCCUCUAAAACUUCGUAUGAUGAGAUUCUGUCACUUCUGUCAUCAAAAGGUGGAGUCUACUUGUCCUUCCCUUGAAUCUAUGCUGGCCUGUGACUUGCUUUGGCCAAGAGAAUACGGGAAUAAUCGUUCUGCAAGAGGAAGUGCUUACAGCUCUUGGCACACUGCCACGAGACUGCCAUGCAUAGGUCAUGUGGAUUGGAACCCAGGUGCCCCCAACUAAAGCCCAGCGGGGCCUUGUUCCCAGCUGAUUCACCACCUGAGUGCAACCACAGUUCUAUUCCAGGAACACUCAAAUCUCUGGCUGACUCCACCUGCCUUUUACAUUCCAGACUCACGUCUUGAAAUGACAGUAGGAUGCCUCCAGCUUCCAGCCUCUCCUGGGUCGUAAUUUCAGCACAUCCCAAACUGAAAUCAAAGUGCCCUCAAAGCUGAACUCACUGUUUCCCCCAUAUUUCCAUUGGCAUCACCACCAUCCUCCAUGCAUUCGGGCUUAAAACCAGCCCCUGUACAAUAUUAUUCUGAGUCCAGUCAAUUCUUCCUCCAAAACGCCUCUAACAGCCAUUACUUCCCUUUUAUUCCCCUAUUACCAUUUACAUGGCAAUAAAAUUUGCAAUACAGUAAUUUUCUGUGUGGUAUCCCUGCCCCACAGUCCACUCUAUUAUGGGUUAAUAUUUCCUGAAGUACAGUUGGGACCUUGUUCAACGCAUCUCCCCCACCAAAGAGUUUCAACUGCUCCUUCUGAACUAAAUUCACACUCCCCAGGACCUGCCCUUCCCUGGGCUUUUACUGGUUUGUCUGUCACUGGAUAGACAUCUGAGCACGUCUUUAUCCUGCAGGAAUGUUAACCCCGGAAUGAAAGACAGCCCGGGCCCCCUAGACAGCACUCGCCUUCGCAAACUCCGCAUCCCUGCCACGCUGACUGCUCAACUUCUAUCCGCCCGCCUUCUCCUUCGCGGCCGGGACUGCCCUUCCAGGAGGGCCGAUUUCCCAAGUCCCAGCGCAAACACCUCCCUGAACCUCAAGUCCACACAGGGAAAACCAGAGAGCGAGCCCGGCCAGCCACGCCCACCCGGUCCCCCUUCGCCCGACGCCCGAGGACAGGGGCUCCCGUCCACACGGUCCAGCGCCCACCUGGUGCCCGGUCCGCGCGGCAGGUGCAGAAUGCACCGAGGGCUCCCGCAGCCCAGCACACGCCCCCACCCACCCCCCGAAGUGGCCUCAGGCACCCCGGAGGCACUCGGCUGCCGCUCAAUACGUACUCGUCCGACUACCGGUCAGUCCACCAAAAGCCCAAGGACCGCGCUCAACGAAGACGUCACGGUCUCGCGAGCGCCAGCCUCCCAGCAGCCCCGAGGCCGAGUCUCCACAGCUCUUUCUUCCGCCCCACGGGCAGUCGAGUCUCGGCUUUUCUAGGAUCGCGGUCCCGGCCUCUCUAGGAUGGCGGCCGCGCUUCUCUCUGGUGCGCCGGGAGGACCCCGUCGCUCCUUCCGCCCCGCGCAGGCGCGUCCCGACGCCCCGCGCCCACCCUCCUCUCUGUAAAUCUUUUCAAUUAAAAACGAGACGGCAAAGGCAAAACUGAGACUGUUUAGGAUCUUCUCAGGCUGCUGGUUAGACAGAUAAAUGAACAAUUACAAAAUAAGAAGCACAAGUUCUUAAAAUAUUCUGUCCUCCCCCAGGACAUGGUACGUGUCCCCCAGGACAUCGCUCUCAGUCGGCCUGCAUACAGCCAGAUGCAGGGCGAAAGGAAGUGGGUCAAAGACUGCCAAGUGCCUGUUCUGGCCUUCAUGCUACCCUUUCUUCUUAGUGACAGAAGGCUGAUUUUCAGCUGGGCACCCUGCAACCCAGAACAAGACACUCUCCAGACUCCCUUUCCUAAGUUUUGGCGUGCGACAUAUGUACUUACAGGACGCUUUUUGCAGAAGGCUGGCUUAACUGCGAGGGAUCUGUCGUCCCACCUGUCUGCAUCUUGCAUGUGAUGACUGGAGCUUCGGCACCACCAAGGACCAUGUGACCACCUCAAGGGCUGAUGGGGUGCACUGGCAUGUUGGAACAGAAAAGCAGAGGGAGGGUCCCUGGCGGUGUCAUGGAACCACUUUAUCAGUCCUGGACUGCUUAUCUCCAGAUUAUUCUGAGAGAAAAACAAGCUUUCAUGAAAUCACUCCUACUUUUUUUCCAUAAUCUAUAUGCAGCUGAACUAGGUAGAUCCUCAGCCACACACGAGGCCUCGCUCCUGUCGCAGACUAAGAAGUCUUUCCCAGACACUACACCCUAAGCAGCUACUGCCGAUCAGCACGCAGUGAUGAUGCUUCACGAGUGGACUCCCUGAAGCUUACUGUUCUUAUCAUUUCCGUGACAUUUUGGUAUUCACAGUACAAAGAUCAUGAUCUCCUCCCAGCUGACUUUACUGUUUGCUUCCAAAGAAUUCCAGAACAAGCACCAUUUUAAAACUGCAUUAUCAGGGCGCCUGGGUGGCUCAGUCGGUUAAGCGCAAGACUUCAGCUCAGGUCACGAUCUCAUGGUUCGUGUGUUCGAGACCCAUGUUGGGCUCUGUGCUGACAGCUCAGAGCCUGGACCCUGCUUUGCAUUCUCUGUUUCCCUCUCUCUCUGCCCCUCCCCUGCUCACGCUCUGUCUCUCUCUCAAAAACAAACAUUAAAAAAAUUUUUUUUAAUUGCAUCAUCAGUAUUAAAGGAAAACAGUCUAAUUUCUUUCCCCAUUUCCUAAACAGUGUCUAUGGAGGACCCACUUUCCUGACACUGAAGUUUGUAUCAAGACAGUUACUACCUGGAUUCACUCAGCACUGUUCAUUCACAUGACUUAUAAAAUCUCUCCCACAGUUUAACCUGGAUUUCUAACCUGAAUGAGUGAAGUAUUGUAGCAAGACUAGGGGUGGGAAAUGGUAAAAUUAGAUCAUCUUUGCUUUCUAAAAUGC